GCUUUUGCUUACAUUAGAAAACCUUCAAUAACCAAGAAAACAAUAUACACAACUGCAACAACACAAAUGGAAAGAACAAAAAUUUAAAUGGACAGUGAAAUUAUAGGGAUGAAACGAGCUCAAAGAACAGACAUAAUAUUGUACCUUUGUUCCUUUUUUAUAGAAGUAAUGGAUUAUGAGUAUUGAACAUUAAAUAUUCUAACUUACUUGCAGGAAGAGUUAGUAAGUAUUUUUGUCUCUCUCCUGUUCUUUGUUAGAAGGUAUAUGAAGGAGGGGUAUGUAUUGAGAAAUUAAUACAAAAACAAAAAAGUCAACCAAUUUUAAAAUAAAAAUUUUAAAACAAAGAAAAAUAAAAAAAUCGAGCAUUUGCAUGGUACAUAAAUUGUGAAUUUAUAGAUGCUUAUCACAAUUCCAAAAUAUAUAAUGUGUUUGUCAAUGUUAUGAAAUCUUCAGUACACCAGAAAAUAUUAUAUAAACAGACUACAACAAUGAAAGAAACAAACAACAACAACAAAAAAAAAAAAAACAUAGAAAGGGGGAGAAAGGCUAAAUACAAUGUAAUUAUAAAGACCUAUAAGUUUGGCCCUAGAGAAGAACUGAAGAUAUGUAAGGAAAUUCAGGUAGUCAAUAUUGCAUAUAUUGUCCAAUUUGUUUAAUAUGUUGGUUGGUUUUGUACAGGUGUUUUUCCUGCCUCUUUUUAAAUUCUUUGCAAUGUGAGAUAGCCACAACAUAGGAAAAGAAAAACAUUUUAGAAAUAAAGUUGAUUAAAAAUACAAUAAAAAGUUUUAAAUAAAACGAAUAGCAACAAAAAGAAAUGAGCUUUCCACAAGAUUUUUCUAUGAUUAGACAAAUUACUAUUCAAAUCAUAAGAUCCAAUAAAUAAUGUAAAUAUAAAUGCUUAAAAACUUAAAUCUAAUUCAUAUAAUUCAAUUUGUCAAAUUUCUACAGAGUAUCUAUCUGUCCAUAAUUGUACAGGCUUCUGUGGGUAUUUAAAAGUAUAUACUUGAUGUGAAGGGAACAGCAAAAGACUUUGAAAUGGCAAAAAGUCUUGAAAUCCCAAUGGGAAAAAAUCUAUAUAAUAUGGACCAUAGAUAGAACACAUAAACAGUGAAUUCUCUUAACCUAAGUAUUCUGUAUUAUGGCAGAAAUAUCAGGUAAUGUGAAAUAUACUCUAAUGCAAAAAUAACAUAAAAGGCAAUCUAUUUAACAUAAGAAGCAAGAAGUUCUAUAUUCUAAUCCCACCUUUGGUUACAACUUGUUCUAUGUUUUGAUUUAACUGAAAAAUAUUGGCAAUCCAUUUAAAGAAAUCAAUCACGGCAGUAGAAGUAUAUAUUAGUUACUGUUUUGGUACAUGUGGAAAAGUUUCACAUCAAGUUAUGUUUAUUGAACUGGAAAACUGUUAAAUGAAAAUCAUUCUGGUUAUUCAACAAUAUUUAUUGUGCAUGUCACCACUCACAUUCAUGAAUCUCCAGUCAUAAGGCAAAUUAAUAGACUCUGUGUUGGCACUUCAAUUCUCUGUUUAAUGAUAUAUUUAUUUUACUGAUGAUAGCUGUCCUCAUUAGGGACUCAACACUCUAAAAGGACAUAAAUUCCACAACAAUUAACCUUGUGAACAACAGAGUAAAUAUAAGAAGUUUAUCACUUAUUACAUAAAUAAAUACUAUAAAUAAAUUUUAAUAUACCAAAAGAAGGACAGUAAUCAUCAGUUAAGCAAAAAACAAAACAAAACAGGAAGUUAAGAAUCAAAAUGUCAGCAUAGCUAUAAGUUACUGGUUUUAUGUUAAAUGAGAAACAUUCUCUGGUUUAGCAUUGGCAUAUCUAUAAUAUACAAUAUAUUAAAGUGAGACACAAUAAUAUGUCAAAAUAAAAGUAUAGAGUUCUAAAAGCACAGUACAAAUAUGAAUUACUAUUAUUAUAAUGUAGACUCCAUUAUAAAGGACCAUGUUAUUACCUUCAUUGCUCAUUUUCUUGUACUAUUUUUAAAUGUUCAGCUCCUGUGUCUAUAUUUAGUGAAAAUUUUAUCCUAAAGAGCAGUGAGAAUGAUGAAGUACCAUGUCAAAUGAAGACUGGCUGGUGUAAUUAGAAAUGUUUAGGUGGGAUGAUAUGGUCAUUCUCUUCAAUUAUCUGAAAGGUUGUUGUGGAAAAGAGAUUAAACUUGAUUCUUCCUAUGGGGAGAUUUUCUAAGAUAGAUAGAUGAAUAGAUGAAUGGAUGAAUGAUAGGAAGGAAGGAGAAAGGAGAAAGAAAGGAGAAAAAGAAGGAAGGAAGGAAGGAAGGAAGGAAGGAAGGAAGGAAGGAAGGAAGGAAGGAAGGAGAAAGAAGGAAGGAAGGAAGGAAGAAACAAAGAAAACAUCCUGCUGGAUGCAAUGGUUGGCCUUAUGCUGGCAAAAAUCGGCCAGUGAUAUCAUGGGUAUAUCAAUAGAUAAACUCUAGUGUGUAAUUUUCCAGCUUUACAUGAUAUUCCCCCAAGGUUUCCCAUUGCUGCAUUGAGAAUUCCAGUUGGGUGGAGAAGUAACCCUUACUUAAUGACAUCAGCGAAGACAUCCAAAACAUAAAGAUUAUCAGCAAUAGUAGGAGAUGACAGUAGAAAACUGGAAAUGGUAUUGAAAAAUGAUGAGGAAAUAACUACAACAGAGAGAAUGAAGGAGGGCAGAAGGAACAUAAAAAUAGAAGUUGUGAGCAGGUAAAUUGCUAUACUGUCUGCCCCCAAGGAAGAUAUAUAGAAGUCAAUAAUUAGGACAUCAAAUGUCAACUCUAGUUUAAGUUCAAUGUGACUGAUUACCUCAAUAUAAAAAUAAAACUAGUAAUAAAACCCUCAAACUUUUAACUGCUUAUAGAAGGAGCUGUAGUGGCUUUUUAUAAUAUGAAUUAUUUCAAAUAACAAUUUGUCAUUCCAAAAACUAUUUUAAAGAGUUUGGGGAUAGCAGAGGUAAAUGUUGCAAAAUGGAAACUUGGCUUGGUAUAUUUCAUCUUCAUUUUAAUCUCUGAACUCCCAGUGAGUACAUACUAAUCAACAGAAUAUCUCCAAUAUUAUGGGGAAGUUUUUGAACUAGCCAGAUUGCUCAGGCUGAUUUCCCAGAUAUGACUUUCUUAAGGAAUAUGAAUCUUCCUGGUUUCUCCCUCAGUGGUAAUCGGUGUAAAGGAACAUGGGAUUCAGAGAAAAAUAGGAAAACCGAUAUGAACUAACACACAGCAAAGAGAGCAAAACCAAAAAGGAGAUCAAACGAAACAAGGACUAAAAUAAUAGAAAUAGAAAUAACAUUGAAAGAAUCAGCUGGGCUCUGAUUGCAAUGAUUACUUGAUCUCCACCAAAAAAAAAAAAAAAAAGAUAGUGAAACACUCUCUUUGUGGGGAAGGUUUCAGGGGAAGUCAAUGAGUGAGAAAUGUUGUACAGUUUGUUAAAGUCAUUGCUUUGUUGAUCAGUUUUGCUUGAAUGUUUUUCUUUGCUAAAAGGAACAACUCAAUGGUUUAUCAAAGAAUAGUAGUGGUAUAAAACACAAAAAGCAUCAGUAAUUCUUAAACUGAAAAUAACAUGUAUCCGUCAUUUAUAAAUCUUCAUUCUGGUACAGAUCUUAGAGUUCCCUAGUUGUUUUGCAGAUAGCUAUCCCUUAACUCUCACUAAACAUGCUAACAAAGCCCAAGCUGAUAGACUUGCAUCAGUUUUCUGUUUGAGGAUGUUAUACAAAUAAAUACAUUUUAAAGGAGACUCAAAGAAAAUUACAAAUUCUGAACACCCUGAUAUAAAAGGAAAGGCAGCAUCAAAUAGCAAAAAGUCGGCUAGCUUUUGAGUCAGAAAAACAUACUGGAUCUGCCACAUAUUGACAAUGUUACUAUGAGCAAGAUAGUUCUCCUCUAAAUAUCCCUAGGCAAUUCUCCAAAACUGUAAUUCCAAUCUGUGUUGGUAAAGCAAGCUUUCACCAAGGAAGUUCUCUGUAUUUAUGAAAGUAUAGUUCCAGAACAAAUAAGGAAAAAGAUGUGCAAAAUAUCUGUCAAAUUUUUAAACAUAUUACUACUUUUUAAUUACAACUCUCCAGAAGAUAGCAUAUUCAGCAUAUUAACCCACGGCUUUAAAUAUGGCUUAUUCCAUGUGGUAGAACUCUAUCAACAAUGUGAUGAAUAUUCAUCUAGGAAAUAUACUCCAUUAUGACUGGAUGCAGAACCCCUGAAGAUUCAACUUAUACUUUAGAUAGUGACUUUUCCACAUUUUUUUUAAUUUGACAAAUAUUCAUGAAGCACCUACUCCAUGCACAUCACUAUGCUAGGUACUAAACACUGACAUGAGAGAAGGGAAAGAGAAUACAAAGAUAAAUAAGGUACGGCCCCCUAAAGCAGAACUGACAGGGAAACAUAAGGAAACAAACAUAAAAAUAGUAUGUGCUUAGUGCAUAAGACAUAGUAGAUAGUAGAAAGUCAGACUUUAAAAGCAUUUAUUAAGCACUUGUUGUGUGCUAAGCUCUACUGUAGAUACUGGGAAUUCAAAUGCAAUGAAGUGAAACAGACUCUGUCCCCAAGGAACUUACUUCAGAAUAGAAAAGUGACUUUUAUGAAGGGAAUCAAAAUUGAAAUAGACAGGGAAGGAAGUGAAGGAUUACAAUAGACCAUGAUGGAAAGAGAGAGAGAGAGAGAGAGAGAGACAGAGAGAGAGAGACAGAGAGAGACAGAGACAGAGAGAGAGAGAAAGUGCAGAGACAGAGAGAGAGAGAAAGUGCAGAGACAGAGAGAGAGAGAGAGAGACAGACAGAGAGAGAGAGAAAGAAAGUGCAGAGACAGAGAGAGAGAGAGAGAAAGUGCAGAGACAGAGACAGAGAAAGAACAGAAAAAACAGACAGGCAGAGACAGACAAAGACAGAGACAAUGAUAGAGAGCAGGAAACAGUGACAGAGAUAUGAGGAGAAGAGAAGGAGGAGAGAGACUUUGAAAGACAGACAAAGAGUGAUAUAGAGAGAAAGUGGAAAGAAAGGGAAAGGAGAGGGAGAGGGGAAGAGAGGGAGGAGAGAAAGAGAGAGGAAGAGGGAAAAAGAGAGAGGGAGAGAGAGAGAGAAACAGUGAGAGAGAGAGAGGGGGAGAGAGGGAAAAGAAGGGAGGGAGAGAGAGAGAAAAAGAACCCAUUUUAGAAAAAUAAUGAAUAGUAUAGUUUGACUGAAAUCGAAAUGAUAUUGCAACAGAGUAAUGUAAAAGUGUGAAAGCAAAGCAAACUGGCAAGGUAAAUUGAGACGAGAUUAUGAAUUGUUUCAAAAUGGCCAAGACUAUUCCAUUGAGGACAUUAUUGAAAAAACAGAUUCCUAUCUGAAGUCAAAGCCAUAUAAGUUGUUAACACAUGAAGAGCUGCUAGGUGGCACCAUAGUGCACAGUGUCAGACCUGAAGUCAGCAAGAUUCUUCAUGAGUUCAAAUCUGACUCCAGACAUUUAUUAGCUGUGACACCCUGGGAAAAUCCCUGUUUACUUCAGUUUCCUUAUCUGUAAAAUGAUCUGGAAAAGGAAAUGACAAAUCACUCGAGCAUCUUUGCCAAAAAUGCUGAGAUCACAAAGAGUCACAUAUAACUGAAUAGUUUGGGGGGGAAAGUAUAUGAAGAUCUAACAACUGUAUAAAACUAAAAUAUUUGCAAAAUUAAGAUUUAUACAUUAAUGUUUCACUAUCUUCAUAAUGCCCUUUAGAGAUGAAUAUUAUUACUAUUCCCAUUUUACAGGUGAGGACAUUGAUGUUUCCAUGAGUUGCCUAGAUUUAUAACAGGCAAUAAAUCCAUAAGGCAGCAUUCCAACUCCAAAGCUACCACUUUAUCAACCACAGCAUCUCUCUUUUUUAUUAUUUUAAUUUUAUUUUUAUUUUCAGUUCUACAGUGUCUCUCUCCCUCUCCCUUUCUCCCACCCAUUGAGAAGGCAAGAAAUAUGAUUCCCAUUACAAUCAUACAACAUCUCUUUCAAUGGCAGUUACAUGAAUUUAGACACAAAUUAAAGAUAAUCAAAUUAUAUUUACUCAGAAUCAUGUCCAUGUCCAGAAAUAAACUGUCAUCUGUUUUUGUUUUUGUUUUUGUUUUAUCCCUACUCCUGGGACAUUCUUGUGGCAUUUUAAAACUCAUAGAUGAUUGGAAAGAGUCAGUAUGGGAUAGUAGAGAGGGACCUGGCUGUAAGCCAGGAGGACAUGAGUCUUUACAGUAAUGUAUAUGAACUGUGUAAACCUGGACAAAAUACCUAACCUUUGGUGUUUGGACAACUCCAUAAGACUACAAAUCAGAUCUUAGGUUGUUACUGUUGUUUAGUCAUUUUUGAAUUUGUGACCGCAUUUGGAAUUUUCUUGGCAGAGAUAUUGGAGUAGUUUGUCAUUUCAAACUCUAGUUCAUUUUACAGAGUAGAAAAUGGAGACAAAUAGGGUUAAGUGACUUGCCCAAGAGCACACAGCUAAUAAGUGUUUAAGGUCAGUUUGAAUUCAGGAAGAAGAAUCUUCCUGACCCCAGAGAGACUAUUUUAUCCACUUCACCACCUACCUACCGCAUACCAGGUACUGACAGAACAUACUGACCAGCAUUGAUAAAAGGCAUUUCUUUACUUGUCCUUUUUGGCCCGGAAAAACUGGAUAUAGGAAAAGCUGUUGUAAAAAACAACAACAACCCAUGUUACAUUUUCUAGCCUGAGAAGGAGUCCAAUCUCCCAGUCACUGCAUCAAAGACAAUUUUAGCUCAGGUAUAUAUCCUGCAAAGGUGCAGAGGUCAGAUGGAAAGCAGAUUAACUUCUGAACAUAUUCACGUUUUGAAGACUUCUCUGAACAGGUUCUGAGGUCUGCUCUUCCUCCUCUCUCCACCUCCUUGCACUACACACCUCCACCAUUGUGAAUGUCAGUAGUCUUUGAAAAAAAUCAAUAUCUUGCACCCCCAGAUCUUGCCAGAAAAGUAGCAGUGGCUUAACAGAUAAUCACCUAGCUCUUGCUAUUCAAGCAGCUGCAAAGCCUAUCAAAAACAUCAGCUCAUGUGCAUGCAAAAAGGCAGAAUGUGGCCUUCAGAUAAAACUGAAUGCGAAGUCAAAAUUAGUCGAGCAUAUAUUAUGUAUGAGUUGAUGAAUUAAUAACUGGGGAUAUUUGCAUUGGCAGGUUGUAUAAGCAGGAAAGGUUUUCUUUGAUACAAUUACUAUUUCCUCAGCUAAAUAUCAAAAAUAAUAGGAAGCUGUGUAGCUUAGAACAAAAGAUGUAAGACAGAAAGGCACAAAGCAAUUAGUGAGACUUUCUAUCACAAGCCAGUGGACUGAUCCCCUACCUUCCCCACAUCCAAGGAAAUCAAUUUCUAUUCACAUCAUGUAUAUUUUUCAUUUCCUUAUCUGGUAUCUGUGUUUUCCUUUGAUGAAAAUGGGUUUGGGGAAACUUCUAUUUUAUAUAUAUAUAUGACAAACUCUAUUAUCACAAUCUUGAAGAAACUGUAUAACUUGUUUGUUCUAAUGGAAUCAUAUAUCAAAUAUAACUUGAAACACGUAGGCCAUAAUUGGGACCUUGAUAUCAGUAUUUUCUAUAGACUCCCAUUGCAAUAGUAUUUAUCCUAACAAUGUGUGACCUACAGAAAUACCCUCAAACAAAAACAACUGCUAUGGUCUAUCCCAAUGAUUCCAAAAAUUAAUAACAACUUCCAGAAAUGAUUCAUUUGUAGCGAAAGAAUUUCUAAGCUUAAUCAUGAUGGUAGAACUAGAUAUUAUUUAUGUAUCAGGAAACCUAAUCUAUACUAAUGGGGAAAAGUAGGGUGAGUCCAAGUAGAAUUAUACUUCAGCUUCUAAUAAUCUGGAUCAGUUUGAGAGUCAUUGUAUUGUUUAGAUGUUCAGAACAAAUACUAAUUUGUAGCUCCUUUGUCUCUAGACCCUAUGAGAUUUUCUUAGCUGCAUAGUAUUCUACUCCAUGUAAUCCAUUAAUCUAAGAGCCCUUCCAGUUCAGUGUGCUUCCCAAAAGGGCUGAAAAGUUUGCCAAGAGCAUUCUUUCCUUAUACUAACCCUACAAGUAUUUUUUUAUUUUUAUUUCACAAGUGAGUUCACUAAAAGUGACAGAGAAAUAUUUUGCUCCUGGUCACACAACAAAGCCAUCUUCUGAUUUCAUUGUACUGAAUAUUCUCAAUGAAUCCCUCUGAGUCACUUACAGUUUCUAACCUGGGAUAUAUGCUAAGAAGUCAGGUGCUAUUUAGGAUUUCCCCAAUGUUUACCUCUCUGCAACUUAUUAACAUUCUAUCUCUUUCUAAAGUAUUUUAUAUUAACUUUUUAUUUAUUUCUCUCAGUACAGCAGAGUGGACUCUUCUUGAAGGUAAAAACAUUGAUUCCUGUCUACAGAUCCUUAGGACCUAGAAUAUUGCUUUAGGAAAAAACUGAGGAAGACUAGAUCAUUUUUAAUUGGGAGUAUCAGGAAGCAUCUAUGGAAGAAGCAUUAGCCUUUCAGGAAAAGAAGUCUUUCAUCAGAAGGAAGAAAAGGGAAGGUUCUCCAGUCACAUAAGCUGGCUCCAGUGGAUCAUAGAGGUAGAUAGUUAGAUGUAGAGUAACUCAGAGAACAACCAGUAAACCAAUUUAGUUGGAAUAGAAUGUGUUAAGGGACAAUAAAUAUGAAAUAAAGCUAGAAAAAGAGGUAGAAAAUGGUGAGUACAUUUGAUGUCAAAAAAAGGAGAUUUUAGUCUAUAAAUGGCAUUGACACUGAAAAUUUUUAAGCAAGGGAUAUGACCUGACCAGAUAUUUUGGAAAAGUUAUUUUGGCAAUUGUGUGAAAGGGGAUUUGGAAAGAUGAUAGUAGGUUAUUUAAAAAGAAAAAAAACAAUUAAAGGCUAGGUAUAAGGUGACUAUGUUUAGUAACAACAGUAAGCAAAGUUCUGUAUGGAGUCUGGAAGACCUAAGUUCAAAAUCCAUCCUUAGGCACUUCUGAGUAGUGUUAUCCUGGACAAAACACUAAACCUCUGUUUUUUGCAAUUGAAAAAUGGAGCUAAAGUUGUUGUAAGGAUGAAAUGAGUAAUUACUGUGAAGAGUUUAAUACAGUACCCAGAACAUAGUAAGUACUAUCUAAAUGUUAGCUGCUGUUAUUACUAUUAAUUUAAAUGAAUUAUGUAAUCUGACUCCCCAUUUUACUAAAGUUGGAGAAAUUUAGUCAAACAAAAUCACAAUGACAUUUUAGUGUCUAGCACAGUAAUUGACAUGUAAUAAGCAUUUAAUAAAAGUGUAUUGUUGAUUGAUUCUAAUAUCAAUGGUAAUUAUAAAACCACAGUUGUUUCUUCCAUUCAUUUAACUGCAGUGGGAUGUUAGAUCACCAGUUGGAUAUAUAGAAAAUUGACAGGAUCCCUUGCUCCAGUACACUCCCUUCUGUUUUCUUACCAGUCUACCAAUGGAUAAAUCAGACAGAGGCAACAGCAGUGCCCAUUAACAAAUGAAAUCAGAGAGUGACCUGGAAGUACUAAAACAAUCAAUAAAUCAAUCAAUAAACAUUUAGGUUUCUACUACCUUCAAGGCCCGAUAUCUUUUCAGCACCCUCUAAAGAUAAAGAAAUGACCCUUAAAACUUCUCUCCCAACUUAAAAAACAUAGAUAUUCUAU
rnacentral:lncRNA from 1 species